GCCAUUCCAUAUAUCUACUAGAACAUCAACUUUCUUUAUUUUAUCGUGAAUCAAUCUAUAUUUUUAGAUGACCAAAGGUACAGACACAUAACCAACUUUUAUCAUAUUCCAAUAUUCUUGACCCACACUAAAUUAAUGCUAUAAAUAUCCUGAGCCAUACCUAGUCUGAAUCAACAACAUAUAUAGUCCCCACAGUUGGAUCAUAAGAUGAUUAAUGAAUUAAGCUGAGGGGUUUUGACUAGUAUUUAUCACUGCUCUGAAAAAUGUUUUGGUUGGAUGGAGAAAGGCAUGUGCUCAUAGAAUUCUUCUCUUCUUCCUUUCGAAAAUUUUCACUAAAGGGUUCGAACAAUAAAAAUAUUUUAAACCUCCUAAAUCACUAAGUAGCAUAAAAAUCUUAUAAAUGGUGUAAUUUUUACUUGAGAGGGUUUGGGUGAGAACCCUUGCCCCUCCUAGGUCCGCCACUGGCUCCAUUAAAAUGUC
rnacentral:lncRNA from 1 species